rnacentral:rRNA from 1 species
AACGAACGCUGGCGGCAUGCCUAACACAUGCAAGUCGAACGAGACCUUCGGGUCUAGUGGCGCACGGGUGCGUAACGCGUUGGAUCCUGCCCUUAGGUUCUGAAUAACUCCCCGAAAUGGGUGCUAAUACCGGAUAAUAUUUUCGGACCAGAGAUUUAUCGCCUUUGGAUGGGCCCGCGUUGGUUUAGCUAUUUGGUAGGGUAAAAGCCUACCAAGGCUACGAUCCAGAGCUGGUCUGAGAGGCUGAUCAGCCACACUGGGACUGAGACACGGCCCAGACUGCUACGCGAGGCAGCAGUGGGGAAUAUAGGACAAUGGGCGAAAGCCUGAUCCAGCAACGCCGCGUAAGUGAUGAAGGCCUUAGGGUUGUAAAGCUCUUUUACCCGGGAUGAUAAUGACAGUACCGGGAGAAUAAGCUCCGGCUAACUACGUG